rnacentral:rRNA from 1 species
CUGGCUCAGGACGAACGCUGGCGGCGUGCCUAACACAUGCAAGUCGAGCGGUCCGGCACUCAACUAAGUGCUUACUUAAGGGGAAGGAAGUAUAGUAGAAGAAGAAGGUAAUAAAAGUGAAGCAAAGUAAGGUAAGCACGGAGUUGAGUGCCGGAUAGCGGCGGACGGGUGAGUAACGCGUGGGCAACCUACCCUUAAGACCGGGAUAACACCUCGAAAGGGGUGCUAAUACUGGAUAAGCUCCUUGUAGGGCAUCCUAUGGGGAGGGAAGGUAGCGGAAGCUACCGCUUAAGGAUGGGCCCGCGUCCCAUCAGCUAGUUGGUAGGGUAACGGCCUACCAAGGCGACGACGGGUAGCCGGCCUAA